GCGAGCCGGGAAGUCAGUGCGUAGUUCGGACUAUAGGAUGAUGAUCUUUACCAUAAGAAGUGUUUGAUCAGACCGAAAGAAAGCUGUAGUGCAUGUUGCACAGAGAGAAUCAGGUGUUGCCGAUGCUCCAAGCAGUGUCCCACUAAUGUCACCCUUGAAAACUGGAAUGUGAAGGACCAACAGCUUGCUCAUCUUCAUGCCUGGGUCACUUUGUUGCAUGCAUGGCAGUGCUGUUAAAUUUGUUUCUUCCAGAAU